GAAAUCUUGAGAAACUGCCAGAGCACUUGUAUAAACCAGCACUGGUGGGAUGCUGCGGGGUGACCCUAGCACUCACACAGAGAUGCCUGUGUUUAUUACACUUUCUAUUUCCACACUCUCAUUUUACAGGUACAGGCUUGCACCAAACAGGAGAGGUGGAAACUCGUGUCCCAACUAACCUGGGCCCACCACCUUCAGCAGACAGGGUCCUGGCUUUGCUGAGCUUUACCUCCAAAAUUUGCUGGCCGGACAACCUGUCACAGAAGAAGCAGUACUGACACCAUCAGAGUGCACUUCCCCACCCAUGUGCGCUGCUCUGGAAUAGAAACCCAUCAGGGCCUGGGCUAGCCUUGCCAAGUGGAUUACAUGUUCCAGAAUAAUUUUUAUGAUACAAUAAUGCUGGGUAAUUCCCUUCAGCUCUUGUAGAUGGGGCAUAAUAGAUUGUCUUCUGCUUUUAUUUAUUUGCAAAACAUCCACUAACUGUGUAAGUGUUCUGAAGUUUACUUACAGCCAAAAAAAAAAAAACAAAAAAAAACAACUCACCCAAAACCUCAUCACACAAAGAACCAUCCUAAACAAUUGGACUAAAUUGUAUCGUGUCAUUUGGGACUGGCUCAAAAUGAAAGCAAUCUCCUAUUGUAAUUUUUAAUAACUGUUACUAUGUUUUACUUUGCCAGUCUCAAAUGCUCUCUCUUACUAAGUUAUUGUAAACUACCAUUGGAUAGUGUUCUGUUUUACUCAGUGUAUGUCUGUUAUUGCUGUUACCGAAAUUAGGUGUUAAUUUCUUUCUGUUCCAUGUUUUAUCCUUGUGACUUAAUUGUUAAAUUUGGAAUGAAGCUGCAGCAAAAAUAGGGGAGUGUAAUUGAAUGUGUCCAGGCAGCGCUUGUCUGUUUAGUAUUCAAAGUUAAGAGUCAGCUUUUGACCUUUUCAUUUUAUUAGCUUCAAUCUUUUUCUUUAGCCCCUUGCUAACUGUUAGUGAUCUGCAGGUUCCUGACCGUGUGUUUCCCAUCUGAGUUACCCCAGGGAAGA
rnacentral:lncRNA from 1 species